rnacentral:rRNA from 1 species
GUGAAUCAUCGAAUCUUUGAACGCACCUUGCGCUCCUUGGUAUUCCGAGGAGUAUGCCUGUUUGAGUGUCAUUAAAUUCUCAACCUUUCCAGCUUUUAUUAGUUUGGUCAGGCUUGGAUGUGGGGUUGCAGGCUUCAUUUACUUAUAUGAGGGUCUGCUCUCCUUAAAUGUAUUAGCGAAACUUUUGUUGACCGUCUAUUGGUGUGAUAAUUAUCUACACCGUGGAUGUAAAGCAGUUUUUAUAAAGUUCAGCUUCUAACUGUCCAUUGACUUGGACAAAUUUUUUGACAAUUUGACCUCAAAUCAGGUAGGACUACCCGCUGAACUUAAGCAUAUCAAUAAGCGGAGG